UACGGAGGGUGCGAGCGUUAUCCGGAAUUACUGGGUUUAAAGGGUGCGUAGGCGGCUAUGUAAGUCAGGAGUGAAAGUUUGCGGCUCAACCGUAAAAUUGCUUUUGAUACUGCAUGGCUGGAAUUAGGAUGAGGUCAGCGGAAUGUGGCAUGUAGCGGUGAAAUGCAUAGAUAUGCCAUAGAACACCAAUUGCGAAGGCAGCUUACUACGCAGAUAUUGACGCUCAUGCACGAAAGCGUGGGGAUCAAACAGG
rnacentral:rRNA from 1 species